GGAAGAAAGAGUUUGUUCCAGCUUAACAGGUCACGCUCCAUCACCAAGAGAUAUCAGGGCAGGAAAUCAAGCAAGAACUAACGCAGAAACUGUGGAAGUCGUGGAGAACCUUCUAUAUGCUGUACCAUCUACUUGCAAACACCUCCCUUAGCCUUCUUCACCUGGUUAAUGCUUCUACAUCCUUCAGAUAUUUGCAAUAAACUCCCGGAGACUGCGAAUUAUUAACUUGGAUCUCAUCUUCUCCAUGUUCCUGAGACCACCUGGUACAAGAACAAAAGGCUGUCUCCAGGCCCAUGUUCCCUGUCCCCUGGCUCAGGGGUCUUCAGUUGAGGCUUGACUCCACUCAUUCUGGGGACACCACCCAUGCUAAGCUGUACCUUUGCCAGCACCGGGGAAACCAAAUCAGGACCCGAGCCUAUGGACUGCCCACUUCAGCUACGCCAAAUAGAGAACUAGUACUUCUGCUGGUGGAAGUGGGGGAAAAAAAAAAAAAGGAACCACUGCUGAGCAAAUAUAAUGGCUGGAG